UACGUAGGGUGCGAGCGUUAAUCGGAAUUACUGGGCGUAAAGCGUGCGCAGGCGGCUUUGCAAGACAGAUGUGAAAUCCCCGGGCUCAACCUGGGAACUGCAUUUGUGACUGCAAGGCUAGAGUACGGCAGAGGGGGAUGGAAUUCCGCGUGUAGCAGUGAAAUGCGUAGAUAUGCGGAGGAACACCAAUGGCGAAGACAAUCCCCUGGGCCUGUACUGACGCUCAUGCACGAAAGCGUGGGGAGCAAACAGG
rnacentral:rRNA from 1 species